AGAUUGAACGCUGGCGGCAUGCCUAACACAUGCAAGUCGAACGGGAGUAGCAAUACUCUAGUGGCGGACGGGUGAGGAAUACGUAGGAAUUUGCCCUUAAGUGGGGGAUAACCCGGGGAACCCGGAUUAAUACCGCAUGACCUCGAAAGAGCAAAGUGGGGGAUCGCAAGACCUCACGCUUUUGGAGAAGCCUACGUCGGAUUAGCUAGUUGGUGAGUAAUGGCUCACCAAGGCGACGAUCCGUAACUGGUCUGAGAGGAUGAUCAGUCACACCGGACUGAGACACGGUCCGACUCCUACGGGAGGCAGCAGGUGGGGAAUAGUU
rnacentral:rRNA from 1 species